AAUGAACGCUGGCGGCGUGCUUAACGCAUGCAAGUCGCACGAGAACGUUUCAGCUUGCUGAAACUAGUAAAGUGGCGUACGGGUGAGUAACGCGUGGGUAAUCUACCUCCGAAUUGGGGAUAACAUUGCGAAAGCGAUGCUAAUACCGAAUGAUAUCUCAAUAACUCCGGUCUUUGAGAUCAAAGGUGGCCUCUCCAUGGAAGCUACUGUUUGGAGAUGAGCCCGCGUACCAUUAGCUUGUUGGUAGGGUAACGGCCUACCAAGGCGACGAUGGUUAGCUGGUCUGAGAGGAUGAUCAGCCACACUGGAACUGACACACGGUCCAGACUCCUACGGGAGGCAGCAGUGAGGAAUUUUGCGCAAUGGGGGAAACCCUGACGCAGCAACGCCGCGUGAGUGAUGAAGGCUUUCGGGUCGUAAAGCUCUGUCAAGUGAGAAGAACCUGCCUUUUGGUAAUAUCAUUGGGCACUGACGGUAUCACUGAAGGAAGCACCGGCUAACUCCGUGCCAGCAGCCGCGGUAAUACGGAGGGUGCAAGCGUUAUUCGGAAUCACUGGGCGUAAAGA
rnacentral:rRNA from 1 species